UCUCGAUUGGUCUAGUGGUAAGGAUACCUGCUUGUCAUUUGUAACGAACAAAUCGCAGGUGGCCGGGGUUCGAUUCCCCGAUCGAGAG